GAUGAACGCUGGCGGCGUGCCUAAUACAUGCAAGUCGAGCGAACGGACGAGAAGCUUGCUUCUCUGAUGUUAGCGGCGGACGGGUGAGUAACACGUGGAUAACCUACCUAUAAGACUGGGAUAACUUCGGGAAACCGGAGCUAAUACCGGAUAAUAUUUUGAACCGCAUGGUUCAAAAGUGAAAGACGGUCUUGCUGUCACUUAUAGAUGGAUCCGCGCUGCAUUAGCUAGUUGGUAAGGUAACGGCUUACCAAGGCAACGAUGCAUAGCCGACCUGAGAGGGUGAUCGGCCACACUGGAACUGAGACACGGUCCAGACUCCUACGGGAGGCAGCAGUAGGGAAUCUUCCGCAAUGGGCGAAAGCCUGACGGAGCAACGCCGCGUGAGUGAUGAAGGUCUUCGGAUCGUAAAACUCUGUUAUUAGGGAAGAACAUAUGUGUAAGUAACUGGCACAUCUUGACGGUACCUAAUCAGAAAGCCACGGCUAACUACGUG
rnacentral:rRNA from 1 species